UCUCCUUAUCGCCAAGCCCCAACUUCAAAAGCCGACUUCACGAUAAAAAUAAGAUAUCGAUGGCAAGGUGGCCGAGCGGUCUAAGGCGCCAGGUUCAGGUCCACUUGA